AAUAAGCUAAUUUUUCAUUUUUUACCUAUAAUCUUUUGACUCUUUGUUUUAUUCAAAUUUUUUUUAGAUUGAUAUUUUUGUUUUUAUUAGAUGAUAAAUCAUGAAUAGUACUUUACGUGUGACUAAUUUUUUUUCUAAUUUCCUAAAAAUUUUCAAAUAAGACGGAUGGUCAAACACUAGACACAGUAACCGAAG
rnacentral:pre_miRNA from 1 species